AGUUUUUCCUAAGAGAAUUACUGUGCGUCUAUAUGCAUGAAAUAUGGUGCGUACAAAAAAUGUGCACUCUCUGCAAGCAGCAAAUAUAAAUAAUAAAUUGCUGUAGCUUCUCUGGACGGCGGAGGAGAAGGCACACGUUUGGCAGCUGCAGUUUCUCAUACGCAGUAGAUCUCUGAAUCAGCUCAACUUCGCGCCAGGAAUAACUGAUAUUUGCAACCUCUCACUCUGUUGUGAAAUAUCACCUGACUCACAACUGUUCUCGUGCGCUGUUAUUUCUCUCUCUGCCGUUUCUCUCCCAGCUAGACGCAGCGGCAUUCCAGAUGGCACGCUUUGCCUUGACAAAUAUUUGCUUACCGCCGUCUUCUUUUGUUUAUUUAAGAUUUAUUGAUUUAGCUGAACUGAUCUUAACAUGGUAGUGAGAAGCAUAGACCUUCACUAAUAUUGGCUCUUUGGACGCCGUCGUAUUGGGAAACUCGCUUCCAGCCGUCACGCACUUAACACAUUUCCAUUCCUCUGAUCUCUUUCCUUUAAUGAUUUAUCCUGGAUUUUCUGUCACAUGUGGGCAAAGAUGUUCAGUGGCAGGGAGGGGUGAAGACGGCGGUCGGAGGAAAUCAAUUAAUGUGGCCUUGUCAUUGGAAUCCUUCGAAAGCCUUACGGAUUAAACUAAAGAAACAGGUCAUUUUUAGAAGCACCGGGAGUUUAAGUGAAAUGGAUUCGAGUCCCUAGUGAGGAGGCUCUUUGACAGAUCACCUUCUGUUCACCUUUUCUUAACUUCUGCCAAAAGAGAAACAAUUGAAAUAGUUGUAUUUACUUACAGGGAAAAGCACCAGUGAUGCUUGUGCAAUCAUUUGUUUUUGUCUGCUCUUGUCUUGUCUUGUCUUCUGACAGAUGACUGACCCGGGGCGAAAACGCAGGGAUGCCGAGCGGCGUUUGUUCUGCCGCACCCUGCUGACAGUCUGGGAGGGAUCUCGGUGAUCCGAGCUUGACUAGCUCAGCGGAAACAACAGCCCGUGUGCACUUGCUGUGAAACUGCUCACUCUAUCGAACUGAACUCAGUUUGAUGCCUUAAUAAAAACAGUCACCAGGCUCCAAACACAGAGCUAGCGUCGGCGCCGCAGAGCAUAAACACUGAACAGAACCAAGCAGCCUGGAAGAGAAGACGCCAUUCACCCCGGUGCGCUGAUAGAAAAAAAAAAAAAUCCUGCACUACUCAAUUUCUUAAUUCCACUAUCUAAUGCUAAUGGACAAAGAGAUAAAGUCAUGAAGCAAUGAAAUGAAAUAUUUCUCGUAUUAUUAGCCGAGAGCGGAAAUUAGAAUGACAAUAAGACAGAGCCACUAUGGAGCCAAGACCAGUGCUGUGCUGUGUUAUGCAUCCAAGAGCUUUCUAUAACAGAUAGAUAGACCGACAGACCGACAGAUAGAUAGAUAGAUAGAUAGAUAGAUAGAUAGAUAGAUAGAUAGAUAGAUAGAUAGAUAGAUAGAUAGAUAGAUCGGUAGAUCGGUAGAUCGAUCGAUCCUUUAUUCAUCCCAGUGGGAAAUUCACAACUAUUAUUAUUACUAUUAAUCAUAAUGUUUAAUGAUGUACAUAUAAGCAUUUGAGGUCAUCUUACUGUAUAUGAGUUACCUACAGUAGCACAGAAUAUGUAAUUCAUCUAAUUUACAGAUGCAGAAAGUGUUUCAGAGGUUUCUCAGUGCUGAGAUUUACAAGCAGGAAGCAUCUCUAACUGCUGCAGUGUGAAUAUAAAAGUGCAUUACAGUGUUUUUAGUUGUCCUCUGACCCUGAAUAUUCCCAGACGCCAACAAAUGGAGUUUGCUCCUGUUUUUGUUGUGUCCGUGUUGAUCAUUGAACGUCUUUGACAUGUCUCAGUCCACAGUGGAGGUUAAUAUGAAUCUCAUACGAAAGUAGACUUUCUGUAUUUCCAAGUAUUUCUGUUUUUUUUUUUUUUCUACUCUACUAGGGGCAAUCAUACAAAUGUUUAUAUCGUCAGAAUAAACGCUGAUAUCAAACCCAUUUCUGCUCUCUGAGAUGCCCCAAGUUGUUUGUUCAUCAUCAGCUCAAAUUUACCUUCGACACAAAUUCUGUGUUAGAUUAUCAACAGCGGGAUGAACACGCAUUUCACGCCUUAUGCCAACGGAGUCCUAACUUAUUUUAAUUAAAAAUCUCAGCCAGAACCUCAUUCAUUUCUUUAUACUGAUAGAAAAUGCCCCAUGAGUUAAGGCUGAAACUCCUUCUAUGAACAGUGGACAUAGGAUACACACUUAUCUAUUUUUUAUACACACAUCUAUUCAUCAUUCAUACAUUGCUCAAGUGGAAACAGAGAUUUCAGUGACUUACAUCGUCGUUGCAGAAACACCAGACUGAUUAGUUUUUCAUGAAGCAUCUCAGAUAUUUCUAAUUGAGAUUUCUGAUUAUAUGCCAAAAAAUCCCCUUCUUACAGACCGAAUCUCCCAAGACGAGUGCUUGUUAAAACGUGACAACGUUUUGAUCUGCUGCAGAUCUUCUAUAAUCUCAGACACUGAAAUCCAUAGAGAGAAAUCUGCCUCGGAAGCCAGGACUGAUGAGAUAUUAUUUAAUUAGGAAUGAAGAGAUUUUGGUUUCCAUCAACUGUCUACCGACGGACUGAAUGUUUUGUACCAAAAUCAUUUUGGACAUCUCUAUGAUUCCCUCUAAGCAGCUCUAUGCAAUAGUGUGAUGCUGCCACCACCGUGCUUUACUGUGUCCUGUGCCUAGGGUGGAUUUUAGGAUGCUAAGCUGUCUCAUUUUUCACCAAACAUCCAUCAUGAAAUAAAAUAAUGUUCUUAUCAGAGCACAAGACAUUUUUCUACAUACUUUGGCAAAAAAAAAUGAAUGAUAUGCGUAUCAUAAUUUCUUUUGAACGAGAGUUUAAGUGAGACUGGUUUAUAAUGAGUGAAUUAUAAAUGCUUAUGAUUGUGUUAUGAAAGCUUAAUGUCAGGUACCUUUUAAAUUGUCACAACCAGAGGAGGAAGGAGGCGGACCCGCACACAGGAUAGCUUCAAAUGAAAGGGGUUUAAAAAAUGAUAAAGACAAAUACAGGACAACAACGAGGACUAAAAUAAUACACAUGACGAAACCAACCUAGACUAGACGUGACCAGUGAAUCCGCGCUGCUAUCGGCAACGCGGCUCACAUUUAUACACAGGACAAUAAUGACACAAUGAGGAGCAGGUGUGGUGACAGGGAGGAGCAGACGAAGGCGGGGCAGACACGUGACGAGGAACGACAACGAUCACACGUGGCCGAAAGUCCGUGCUGAACCCUGACAUAAAUAAAGUGUUAAUGUAUUGCACAUACUAAAUGCUAAAUGUUGGGAGAAAAUAUAACUGGAUAUUUUAUUCUCAACUUUGUAAAUAAAACAUAUAUGCAUAUAUGUAGAAAUGCAUGAUAUUUAUUCUUCUAGAUCAUUUGGAUCGGUGAUACAGUUCUGAAUCCGAAUCCAAACAAAAUAAAAUCCAAUUGAGAGAGAUAUCUGUGUCACUAUGCACAAAGAUUUAUGCUGUAUCUAUAACUAUAAAAAGCUCUUUUGACACUUUUCUCUCUGCACUUUCUUUGAGGCUAUUUAUGCAAGCCGUGUUCCUUUUCUUGCUGACUCAAGCCAUCCUGGUUGAGCACAGCGAGCAUGAGCGUGGCGUGUGGAGAGCAUCAUGCUGAAACGUGCACCUAGCUGCAGCAGACGUGGAGCAGAACUGAUAUCCAGCCAGUUCGGACACUCCUGGGAUGUGUGAAGGGCUUUGUUUUUGACCUUGAACAAAGUGAGGUCAUCAUACAGUACUGACUAGUCCCAUGCUUCCAUUGGCUAUAGUGGCUAAUAUAGUGUCUCUCCAGACGAAAAACUAUUCUUUUGAAUACUGAACCCAUGCACUGUAUUGGUUUAGAGAAGGUGUAACUGAAGCUGAGUGAACUUCACGCUGUACUGUACUGUAUGUGCGAUAGGUCACAGGGGGACAGGUCUCGUUGCAUGUAAGUGAUGCAUUUAAUAACAGCAUUUUAACCUUUCGAGAACUUCUGUAUCACCCAUCACUGUUUAUUUGCUGUGCUAUAGACUUCCCUUGUGUGCUUCAGUGAAGCAGAAAUAAUAUUAAAAACAACAAACUGAA